ACCAGUUCGGCCAAAGCGUGUCGAUCGACGGCGACACGGUGGUGAUCGGGGCGUGGAGGGACGACGACAAAGGAUCCGAGAGCGGGUCGGCGUACGUGUUCACGCGCGUCACCGCCGGCGACCUCGCCUCCGACUGGACGCAGGUUGCCAAGCUGACCGCGAGCGACGGCGCUGGGUAUAACUACUUCGGCAUCAGCGUGUCGAUCGACGGCGACACGAUGGUCAUCGGGGCGAAUUAUGACGACGACAAUGGCAUCGAAAGUGGGUCGGCGUACGUGUUCACGCGCAACACCGCCGGCGACCUCGCCUCGGGCUGGACGCAGGUUGCCAAGCUGACCGCGAGCGACGGCGCUCAUUAUGACAACUUCGGCUACAGCGUGUCGAUCGACGGAGACACGGUGGUGAUCGGAGCGCGUUAUGACGACGACAAGGGAUCCAACAGCGGGUCGGCGUACGUGUUCACGCGCAACACCGCCGGAGACCUCGCCUCCGGCUGGACGCAGGUUGCCAAGCUGACCUCGAGCGACGGCGCUGCAAAUGACAGGUUCGGCAGGAGCGUGUCGAUCGACGGCGACACGGUGGUGAUCGGGGCGUAUGCGGACGAUGACGAUGGAACCGACAGCGGGUCGGCGUAUGUGUUCACGCGUGACACCGCCGGCGACCUCGCCUCCGGCUGGACGCAGGUUGCCAAGCUGACUGCGGACGACGGCGCAGCGGGUGACAACUUCGGCUGGAGCGUGUCGAUCGACGGCGACACGGUGGUGAUCGGGUCCCAAAGAGACGCCGACAAUGGCAUCGAAAGUGGGUCGGCGUACGUGUUCACGCGCGACACCGCCGGCGAC
rnacentral:lncRNA from 1 species